rnacentral:rRNA from 1 species
GAUGAACGCUGGCGGCGUGCUUAACACAUGCAAGUCGAACGAUGAAGCCCAGCUUGCUGGGUGGAUUAGUGGCGAACGGGUGAGUAACACGUGAGUAACCUGCCCUUGACUCUGGGAUAAGCCUGGGAAACUGGGUCUAAUACUGGAUAUGACUUCUCAUCGCAUGGUGGGGGGUGGAAAGAUUUAUUGGUCUUGGAUGGACUCGCGGCCUAUCAGCUUGUUGGUGAGGUAAUGGCUCACCAAGGCGACGACGGGUAGCCGGCCUGAGAGGGUGACCGCCCACACUGGGACUGAGACACGGCCCAGACUCCUACGGGAGGCAGCAGUGGGGAAUAUUGCACAAUGGGCGCAAGCCUGAUGCAGCGACGCCGCGUGAGGGAUGACGGCCUUCGGGUUGUAAACCUCUUUCAGUAGGGAAGAAGCGAGAGUGACGGUACCUGCAGAAGAAGCGCCGGCUAACUACGUG